GACGAACGCUGGCGGCGUGCUUAACACAUGCAAGUCGAACGGAAAGGCCCUGCUUUUGUGGGGUGCUCGAGUGGCGAACGGGUGAGUAACACGUGAGUAACCUGCCCUUGACUUUGGGAUAACUUCAGGAAACUGGGGCUAAUACCGGAUAGGAGCUCCUGCUGCAUGGUGGGGGUUGGAAAGUUUCGGCGGUUGGGGAUGGACUCGCGGCUUAUCAGCUUGUUGGUGGGGUAGUGGCUUACCAAGGCUUUGACGGGUAGCCGGCCUGAGAGGGUGACCGGCCCCAUUGGGACUGAGAUACGGACCAGACUCCUACGGGAGGCAGCAGUGGGGAAUAUUGCACAAUGGGAGGAAGCCUGAUGCAGCAACGCCGCGUGCGGGAUGAAGGCCUUCGGGUUGUAAACCGCUUUCGCCUGUGACGAAGCGUGAGUGACGGUAAUGGGUAAAGAAGCAACGGCUAACUACGUG
rnacentral:rRNA from 1 species